GAAAUGCGAUAAGUAAUGUGAAUUGCAGAGUUCAGUGAAUCAUCGAAUCUUUGAACGCACCUUGCGCUCCUUGGUAUUCCUUGGAGCAUGCCUGUUUGAGUAUCAUGAAAUUCUCAAAGUAAACCUUUUGUUAAUUCAAUUGGUUCUACUUUGGACUUGGAGGUCUUUGCGGAUUAACUAUCUGCUCCUCUUAAAUUUAUUAGCUGGAUCUCAGUAUAUGCUUGGUUCCACUCGGCGUGAUAAGUUAUCACUCGCUAAGGACACUGUAAAAGGUGGCCAGGAAAUACAGAUGAACCGCUUCUAAUAGUCUAUUAAAUUAGACAAUUAAUUUUAAGAUCUGAUCUCAAAUCAGGUAGGACUACCCGCUGAACUUAAGCAUAUCAAUAAGCGGAGGAAAAGAAACUAACAAGGAUUCCCCUAGUAAC
rnacentral:rRNA from 1 species